rnacentral:lncRNA from 1 species
GGCCAAAUGCCCGUUUUCCACUAGUGGUCCUUCUUUACUUGACAUCUCAUUUACUGCUCGUAGACACCACAAGCGUUACGAAAUUUGCAAUCAUACACCUUUUCCUCUAUAAAUAAUUUGAAGGAAUGUGCAUCAAUUUAUUAAAUUAGUUUGGGCACAUCCAUACCACACACAUGUCCUAUUACCAAAUGCAUGCUCCCACCUUAGCACUCAUUUAACUCAAUACCGAAUAAUGAGAGAUGGCAUGCAAUAGUAUUAUCCAUAUGUAUAUCAUAUAUACUCCCCUCACUCCGUGUUUGCUGCCACAUGACAUGCAACAUUAAAUCCAUAUAUGAUAUAUCUAGUCUUUAGCUGCUCUCCUUCUCGGUUACUGACAUGCAUAGGGAUGAGGCGUGUCGGAAAGCUCCCAAUAGAGUAUUCUUAUUAGUACUUCACAUAUCUGUGGGGAUGCUGAUGUGUUCGAAGUUGAUAGAGUGCCGCCAUGAUCCCAUUAAUCUCCGUGAUAUAUCAAGGAGGUGUGCUUCCCUCCAAGGUUCCCUUCCUUAUGUUGCUUCUUGUUCAGGAACAAGCAUGGAUGGAUGGUAAUAUCAUGAAGAAGCCCCACACUUACAGGAGACUACCUACUUGUUUUGCAUGAGACCGGACCACAUAGGUCUGCCACAGUGCCACUAAUGUGCACGGCUGUAGCUUCUUUUAGUAGAACAACACACUUUAUUGAAUAAAAAAUGUCAAAGGGAAUACAAGUAUUAACAUGGCUAGAGAGCCGUCGACGGCGUCCCUCCCGAAGAAUAGUUACCAUCUGUGCUACGUGAUGGGCCUCAACAUUAUUCUUGCGUUGUUCGUGCGAUAUAUCACAUGUCUGAAAUACCCUCCCACCUGAUUGGUGGACUUGAGCUUGUUGAUGACUCUCAGACAGUCAGCAGCUAUGGCAAUAUUUUGCAGAUGCAAGUCUUCGCCCAAAAUAGUGCUUCCCGACAGUCAAAAGAUUCAAGAAUUUUGGGAUCCCACAUCUUCUCUAAACCUACAUCAGAUGGUUCGAUCAAACACCAAUUAUAAUCUCUACAAACAACACGAACAAAUCCUCUAUUUGUUGUGUUCUCCAUUGAGCCAUAAACAUAUGAUUUUGUGAAUGCUGACCCGCGUGUUGCCACUUGAACUGCAUGAAUGAUAGAACACUCUAAGAUCCGUGCCUCCAGAUCCAAAUACCUUGUAAUAAACAAGUGAGUGGAUAGCGGACCCUAAAACUCAUGCUCAUUGUGACAUCUUGGCUCAAUAGGAAAGAUAGAAUACACAUAUCAAUAAGGUGCACCUUUUUUUGGAAGCCCGUUCAAAAUGAACCACAAAGUUAACUGAGUUUGGGUUGGAGCACUUUAACGAUGAGAGACUGACUAGGAAGUUGAUCCCAGAUGCGUACGAGUGAGGACAUAGUAUGAAAAAUAUAUUAGUGUUGGUGUGUGGGACUGGUAGAUCGUAAGUGGUAGGCACACACAAGGCCAUCAACCGGUGGGUCUUGAUAGGGCCUUAGAAUUGCUAUCAGAGUCGACCAUUGCAGUUCAUUGGUGUGUGUGGGUCUAGUGCACGACAUGUGAAGCAUGGAGCAUGUGGCCCGUCAUGUCACACGGUAUAACACGUGGGUUGGAUUGGACGCACAUAGGUUUGUCAAGAGAGACCAUUCUUGUUGGUCGGGGAGGACGUUAAUUCCUCUAAGUGAGGGUGUAUGUGACUUGCUGGCAUAACAAAAAUGAUAGGCUACUCGUACCAAUAAGGUGCACCUUCUUUUCUACGAACCUAUCCGAAAGGAACCUUAGAGUUAAGUGUGUUUGGUUCGGAGCAUUCGAGGAAUGGUGGCCGACUGGAAAGUUGCUUCUGGAUGCACCUAUGUGAGGACAAAAGUUGCUUCGGG